UGUCGGCCCAUGUACAACGCGUAUUGAAACGCAGCGCCCAGACUUCAACUAAUCUGCCCUCAAUAAAGCUGAAAUAAUUAUCCUAAGCUGCCUUUCCAGAAGAAAAAUCAUUGAGGAAUUCAAAACUUUUUUUAAAAAGAUCUUUUCUACAUUCCGAUGCAGAUCUGGGGGCGCGGCGCCGGGUACACACCACUCAGGAGAGCUCAAUGAGGGAGAAGUGGAAAAAAAGAAGUUGUGGGAGAAUUUAAACGUGAACCCAACUGGAGGCUGGAGCCAAAAUGGUCGCAGGCCCUAAAUCUCAAGCUCGGAUCUUUCUUAGGCCUUGAUCCGACAGUGCCAGGUUUUAAAGGGCCGAGGAGUGCAAACUCGGUUUGAGGGUGACACCGAAUGUUUGGGUUAGGCUAGGGGACUAUACUGGCUCUUUAGCAGGGGGCAGCUCAGGGGCCUAAACUCGCUGACCAGGGCAGAAUAAUGUUCACCCUAAAAGGUAGAUCCGUCGAGCCCCACUUUUGGCGGUCUCUCUCUCUCUCCAAACAUCUUCAUCUGCACCAGGAGUGCUUUUCCGCUCAACUGCAAGGCUCUGGGCGGUCGCUCUUUGCGGGCCCAGAAAGAGCCCAAAGGUUGGGACACAAAAACAGACACUUCAUCUUUUCUUCCGGACCCCUUUCUCUUGUAGGGGGAAGGAUUAUAGACUGAAAGGUGGGAGGGAGAAGGGGCAGGAGGAGGAAGCAGGGGGAGGAAGGAAUGAAAAGGGGGAGGGGAGUGGGUAUUGUGCCGCGUGUGGAGGGGGAGAAUUCCUACGGGUGGGUUUCCGAAUAUUGUGUUCAACUUUUUGAAAGCAGCUCGUGACCCCGAAACUGCAUCCCCCGGAGCCGGGGACCCAGGCGCCAGGCGGGCGGGUGAACCCGGCCAGUCCCUCCCAAUCCCCGCAACCCCCCGCCUCCGAGUGGGGGGGAUCCAGGCCUGGAGGGAGGCUGGGCAGGUGCCGAGGGCUGUGCCGACAGCGCUGAAAUCGAAAACCCUCGCCACUCAUGAAGAACUGAGGCAAAAGGAUCACAGAUGCUGCUCGGGGCCAGCCCUAUACUCCCUCCAGUGCCUGGUCUCCGGUGGACCCGCGGGGCUCUGCAGUUCUCUGGCGGCCGCGCCUUGUAAGCGCUAAGCCGGGAGGAGGGCGCAGGCAGGGCGCACAGCUCUGAGCGCGACCCUACCCGGCUCGGGCCCGCAGCAACCCCGACUGUCCGAGAGCCUCUCCCCAAGCAAGGCUCUGCGCCGCCCUCUGAGCCCACCUCCUGGCCACAACGCUGCCUGCGCUUCUCCAGCCCAGGCCGGAAGCCCUAUGCUGCCUCCCGAAGCCGACUCAAGGACUGGGGACUUGGUGGAUCUAUGGCAUUGGUACCCACAGAGGUCACCUGCACAGAUAAAUCUGUCGCCACCCUUCAACCCUGGCCUACCGGAUCUGCGGGGAGAAAUGCAGCAUUUGAAUUGGGGAGUGUUCAGUCCUGCUCUGCGGGGCAUUUAUUUACAAAUAUCAGCUGCAACCCAGCCUUGAUAACGUCUCAUACAGUCAGAGGACUUUGCGGGAAGCACACUUCCUCCUUGUUUGGGGCUACAGGGAAAGCCCAGGAAAGCGAGUCCCAGAAGGCCUGGGACAGCUACACCCAGUUCACCCAUGCUCAACCCGGAACAGCCGACCCAAACGGUCAGGAAGGUUUGUCCUGGGGGCAACGCCUCUUCCGGGCUCUAGGACAUUGGAAGACAGAGAGAUUGCUGGGUAGCGGGUGGUCUGGGCCUCCCCGCAAGCUGCAAACGAAGGAGCUUGGAGCAGACCGCCAGGGAGGGCGCAGGGGAGCGCAGUACUCAGGCGGAGAGGCCCCGAAGCCCUUCAGGGACUCCGAUUACUUUCCUUUGAACAACAACAACAACAACAACAAAAACAACAACAACAACUGCUCCCUCCCCCUUAUAUCCCCUCCCUUUUUUAGCCUCCGGGCACCAGGCUUCCACGUAAUUGUCCUUCUGGACAGUAAACACAGCUCAGUUGCCUCAACUUUCCUGGUGCAUAAAAGUUCCCGGCGUGAGGGGAAAUUUGAAUAUUUGAUCAGCCCCUUUGAGUGACCCUCAUUAGCCUGGCGCCCUGCUAAGGCCCCACCAUUGCAAAAAAGCUGCUGGGCCCGGCAUUUGUACGCCUUGUUAGCGCUGCUUAAUGAAGCCGCCCCGACGGCUCAAAGGCGGCCUCUGGGGCCGGCAGCGCGCACCUCUCGGCACCCCGCUCUGCCUAAUGAGCCCCGCCGCCCGCUAAAGGCCCUUCCACCCCCCACAUCCUCAAACAAGAGGGGUUUGGCUCCGUCUAGGACCUGAACACCUCCCACCACCGGGCCCAGGAGGGUGGGCACAAACCCAGUCUAGCUGGCUACACGGUGAUCUAGCCCCUGGAGAAAGAAGCCAGCUACUUGGAGUAUGCAAGCUAAAAAUGGUUGUGUGAGUGGGAAAGUAGGGAAGUGGAUUUUACAGCCACUAGGUCUAGCUCACCCGUGGGUACCACGAACUUUCCCCCACAGGGCCAGCUGUAAAUCAAUUAACCAGCCCAGCUCCUUAAAGGUGCAUCUGGACUAGUGUUAGAACGUCAGAAGGGCUGGUACACAGGGGAGGGUCAGCUUUCCACUCCCCCCUCAAAUUCCUUUGCUCUGGUCUCCCCAGGAGGCCUGGCACUUCUCCCCAGGUGGCCUCACACUUUCUGGAAGGUCAACCUUCCAGGCAACUAGAACUCUAGGCCUGUAUUUGAGAAAGGAUGGGCAGGUUCAGUUCACACCCCUCGGAGAAUGACUUCCAGUUUCACACAAUCCCAUCCCUGGUCUCUCUUCCAUUGCGUUUAUAGCCAUGGAGAGGUCUGAAGAAGUUAGCCCAGGAAAGACCACGCUCCUUAGGCAAGACUGGGACCCCAAAAAAACCUGGACGAGAGGGGGAAAAUCCUAGGAAAAGGGAGUGGAGACAGCCACCCACUAGGACAAGCAUCUACUCCUUCUCUCCUCUUCUUGGGCCAAGGAACACAGCUAACUAGUUAAUAUAAGAAACCAUUAGAAACUGCACUUCACUCCUCAGGAAGAGUUGACAUCUCUCACUGCCCUCUCGCCUCCAUUGUUCUUUCUCCUGGACAGUUGGAACUCAAGGUCCCCUUUCACUCCCUUCUUGAGUACCCCUAGCACUUGCUGGGUUGGUGGAGCAGGGAACUCUCGGUUCUCCACUCAGGACUUUCUGGAAGCCCAUCUUCGUAUGCUCACCAGCCCACCCUCCUACGCUGGUCAGAGUGAGAUUGCUAACCUCAAGACCCCAUUCAAUGCCAGCUUUCAACUACUGCUGAAGACCAAUGUAGGUCCUGGAAUAGAAGAACUGCAGAGUGGGGCUGCGUAGAGGAUUCGGCAGUUUCUCGGCCACAAGGACGGAGUUUCCUAAGAAGGGAAAGAAGAGUGCGGGCAGAGAGGAGAGGUCCGAGGGGGAAAAGAGAGGCCUGAGGACGCUCUGGCGGCUCCAGUACCAAGCCUUGGUAUCUUUGGGAUUCUGGGGAGAGUGGAAGGGUUUACAAACUACACAUAAAUCGGUGAACUUGAACCACUGUGUAUCCCGAUUUUGCAUUGAGCCGGGCCCUGCGCACCCGGAAUGCUGAAGUGGCCAAGGGCAGAGAGGGGUGUAUUUGCAACUCGUGGUUUCUUCGGUUAAACAAACCCCAACCCGUAGCCUCAGCAACAACAACAAAAACUGCAAGUGCAGGAAGCAAAAUUAAACAUAAUUCCUUUUAUUUAUCUGUUGCAUUUAUAUCAUUAAAAUAUUUUUGGUUACGUUGUAUAGAAUAGCAUCCACUCUGAUUAUUACCUGCCAUAUCGGCUGUAUUCAACACAGCAAAAUUAACAAUUAAGAAAAUAAAGGCACAUCUUAUAUAUUG
rnacentral:lncRNA from 1 species